rnacentral:rRNA from 1 species
CAGCCGUAAACUAUGCGCGUUAGGUGUACUGGUGACCACGAGUCACCGGGGUGCCGAAGGGAAACCGUGAAACGUGCCGCCUGGGAAGUACGGUCGCAAGGCUGAGACUUAAAGGAAUUGGCGGGGGGAGCACCACGACGGGUGGAGCCUGCGGUUUAAUUGGACUCAACGCCGGAAAUCUCACCGGAUAGGACAGACAUAUGAUAGUCGGGCUGAAGACUCUACUUGAUGAUCUGAGAGGAGGUGCAUGGCGUCAGUGACU